GUCGAGGAUCUUCCGCAAUGGGGGAAACCCUGACGGAGCGACGCCGCGUGCGCGAUGAAGGCCUUCGGGUUGUAAAGCGCUGUCGCAUGGGAUGAAUUGCACAGGCUCCAACAUAGCCUGUGUUUGACAGUACCAUGAAAGGAAGCCACGGCUAACUACGUGCCAGCAGCCGCGGUAAUACGUAGGUGGCAAGCGUUGUUCGGAUUCACUGGGCGUAAAGGGCGAGUAGGUGGCUUGAUAAGUCAGGUGUGAAAGACCUUGGCUCAACCAAGGAAUGGCACUUGAAACUGUCUUGCUUGAGUGCAGGAGAGGAGAGCGGAAUUCUCGGUGUAGCGGUGAAAUGCGUAGAUAUCGAGAAGAACACCGGUGGCGAAGGCGGCUCUCUGGACUGCUACUGACACUGAGGCGCGAAAGCGUGGGGAGCGAACGGGAUUAGAAACCCCAGUAGUCC
rnacentral:rRNA from 1 species